GGCCUGAUAGUUCAGUGGUAGAAUUCUUGCUUUGGGAGCUCCUAUAUGGAGAAUUCAAAUUGUAAGAGGUCUCCGGUUCAAUCCCGGAUUAGGCCC
rfam:Pseudogymnoascus pannorum VKM F-4517 (FW-2822) contig_1518, whole genome shotgun sequence.